rnacentral:rRNA from 1 species
UACGUAGGGUGCGAGCGUUGUCCGGAAUUAUUGGGCGUAAAGAGCUCGUAGGCGGUGUGUCGCGUCGGCCGUGAAAACCUGCAGCUUAACUGUGGGCUUGCGGUCGAUACGGGCAUCACUGGAGUUCGGCAGGGGAGACUGGAAUUCCUGGUGUAGCGGUGAAAUGCGCAGAUAUCAGGAAGAACACCGGUGGCGAAGGCGGGUCUCUGGGCCGAUACUGACGCUGAGGAGCGAAAGCGUGGGGAGCGAGCAGG